CCCUUAGAUGUUCUGGGCCGCACGCGCGCUACACUGAUGCAUUCAACGAGUCUAAAACCUGGUCUGAUAGGGCUGGGUAAUCUUUUGAAUGUGCAUCGUGAUUGGGAUAGAUGAUUGCAAUUCUUCAUCUUCAACGAGGAAUGCCUAGUAAACGCAAGUCAUCAGCUUGCAUUGAUUACGUCCCUGCCCUUUGUACACACCGCCCGUCGCUCCUACCGAUUGAAUGUUCCGAUGAAUACCAUGGACGGAGAGUAUGAAUGGGUUCGCCUAUUUCUGCUUCUCGGGAAGUGGAGUAAAUCUUAACAUUUAGAGGAAGGAGAAGUCGUAACA
rnacentral:rRNA from 1 species